rnacentral:rRNA from 1 species
CUGGGGUGGAUUAGUGGCGAACGGGUGAGUAACACGUGAGUAACCUGCCCUCUUCUUUGGGAUAACGGUCGGAAACGGCUGCUAAUACUGGAUAUUCACUCAUUGGCGCAUGUUGGUGGGUGGAAAGGUUUUUCUGGUGGGGGAUGGGCUCGCGGCCUAUCAGCUUGUUGGUGGGGUGAUGGCCUACCAAGGCUUUGACGGGUAACCGGCCUGAGAGGGUGACCGGUCACAUUGGGACUGAGAUACGGCCCAGACUCCUACGGGAGGCAGCAGGA